rnacentral:rRNA from 1 species
AUGAAUCUUGCUAGUAUCAUAACCUCUCGAUGGGAGAAUGAAACCAUUAGAUUAGUGGGCGACCGCGAAAGUCACCGAAUGGGUUCGGUCCGUCUUUUCCUGAUCUUUGUUUGCCCCAAAGGCGUGAGAGGACGUUGCAGAUGUCCGGGAUGGACACAACUUCUUCUAAUGCUAGAAGACUGUAGGAAGAAACCCAGGACCAGAGCAUGUCGUGAAAGACGAACACUUGUCCCAGGCUACGUCGUCACGAGCUCCGGUUCCGCCAUGCCCUCUCCUCUGGGAAGCAAGACACCAAACAUGUCCAUCGUGAUCAGAACACCAUGGACCUGUGCACGGAGAGACCUGUUCGCCAUAGACUUGUCUUGGGCUACGUCCUUGGCGAGCUCCGGUUCCGCCACGCUGUCUCCUCCGGGAAGCAAGAUACCAGACGCGUCCAUCGCGAUCGGAACGCCGUGGACCUGCUCACUAGGGACUUGUAUUUCGUCAAGGUGA